UACGUAGGGUGCGAGCGUUAAUCGGAAUUACUGGGCGUAAAGGGCGCGUAGGCGGCCUUCUAAGUCAGACGUGAAAUCCCCCGGCUUAACCUGGGAACUGCGUCUGAUACUGGGAGGCUUGAGUAUGGGAGAGGGAUGUAGAAUUCCAGGUGUAGCGGUGAAAUGCGUAGAUAUCUGGAGGAACACCGGUGGCGAAGGCGACAUCCUGGACCGGUAUUGACGCUGAGGCGCGAAAGCCAGGGGAGCAAACGGG
rnacentral:rRNA from 1 species